UCAAUUUGCAUUCAUGUUCCUUGCCUUGUUCAACAUUAUAUUGAUAUCUUGUGACAGGAGUGGUAUAUUGUUUUUAAAACUACAGGAAAAUACAUGUGUAAUAUUAAAAAGAUGGUGUAAUAUUUUAAAAUAAAUGAUAGUCUUGUAUAAAAUUAUGAAAAAUUUGAAAUAUGAGUAUAAUAACUUCCAAGGCGUUAGUGUAAUUUAUUCUACAUCGAUUAUUUAAACGUAUCUGCCAUCCAAUUUGAACUAAUUGUACAAAUAUGCAAAGAAGCAUGGACACGGGUUAUAGGACAGGAACCCGUCAUAUAUAUAUAUAUAUAUAUAUGUAUAUAUAUAUAUAUAUAUAGGUGUAAGUUAUAUAUUCAUGUCAUUAUAAGUCUUGUAAAAG
rnacentral:lncRNA from 1 species